rnacentral:rRNA from 1 species
AUUGAACGCUGGCGGCAUGCUUUACACAUGCAAGUCGAACGGUAACAGGGUGCUUGCACCGCUGACGAGUGGCGAACGGGUGAGUAAUGCGUCGGAACGUGCCGAGUAGUGGGGGAUAACGCAGCGCAAGUUGUGCUAAUACCGCAUACGUACUGAGGUAGAAAGUGGGGGACCUUCGGGCCUCACGCUAUUCGAGCGGCCGACGUCUGAUUAGCUAGUAGGUGGGGGAAAGGCGCACCUAGGCGACGAUCAGUAGCGGGUCUGAGAGGAUGAUCCGCCACACUGGGACUGAGACACGGCCCAGACUCCUACGGGAGGCAGCAGUGGGGAAUUCUGGACAAUGGGCGAAAGCCUGAUCCAGCCAUGCCGCGUGUCUGAAGAAGGCCUUCGGGUUGUAAAGGACUUUUGUCAGGGAGGAAAUCCCUAGUGCUAAUAACACUGGGGGAUGACAGUACCUGAAGAAUAAGCACCGGCUAACUACGUGCCAGCCGCCGCAGUAA